ACUUUCAACAACGGAUCUCUUGGUUCUGGCAUCGAUGAAGAACGCAGCGAAAUGCGAUAAGUAGUGUGAAUUGCGGAAUUCAGUGAAUCAUCGAAUUUUUGAACGCAUAUUGCGCCCCUUGGUAUUCCAUGGGGCAUGCCUGUUCGAGCGUCA
rnacentral:rRNA from 1 species